CUACGGGAGGCAGCAGUAGGGAAUCUUCCGCAAUGGACGAAAGUCUGACGGAGCAACGCCGCGUGAGCGAAGAAGGUCUUCGGAUCGUAAAGCUCUGUUGUUAGGGAAGAACAAGUACUGUUCAAAUAGGGCGGUACCUUGACAGUACCUAACCGGAAAGCCACGGCUAACUACGUGCCAGCAGCCGCGGUAAUACGUAGGUGGCAAGCGUUAUCCGGAAUUAUUGGGCGUAAAGCGCGCGCAGGCGGUCCUUUAAGUCUGAUGUGAAAGCCCACGGCUCAACCGUGGAGGGUCAUUGGAAACUGGGGGACUUGAGUGCAGAAGAGGAGAGCGGAAUUCCACGUGUAGCGGUGAAAUGCGUAGAGAUGUGGAGGAACACCAGUGGCGAAGGCGGCUCUCUGGUCUGUAACUGACGCUGAGGCGCGAAAGCGUGGGGAGCGAACAGGAUUAGAUACCCUGGUAGUCCACGCCGUAAACGAUGAGUGCUAAGUGUUAGAGGGCUUCCGCCCUUUAGUGCUGCAGCAAACGCAUUAAGCACUCCGCCUGGGGAGUAUCGGUCGCAAGACUGAAACUCAAAUGAAUUGACGGGG
rnacentral:rRNA from 1 species